rnacentral:tRNA from 1 species
GCCUCCUUGGCUCAGUUGGCUAGAGCGCAGGUCUCAUAGCAAUAUGAGGUAGCACGGCUACAUCAAUCCUGAGGUCGCAAGUUCGAGCCUUGCAGGGGGCA